rnacentral:misc_RNA from 1 species
UAAUUCAUAGGCUUUCUUGAGCAAACCAUUGCGCCUUUUGCAGAAAGUGACUUGGCGAUUUGUGGUGUUUUCGAUCCGCUUGAUCUCGAUCUUCCCCCUACCCAUUUUCCUCUGGGGUGAAGUCUCCCUGGACUCGCUCGGGUAUGCCAUGGCAGCUGCUAGCUACUACGUGAUCCUUUGGGAGGAAAUAAACAAAGUGAGGGAUAGAGAUGCUAAUUGCGGAGAGAAACGAAGGCUAUUUUGCUUUUGGGUUGUGGGUUUCUCUGUGACUUUUCUUUGUUUCUAUAAAAAUGAGUUGGA